rnacentral:rRNA from 1 species
AUGGGUCUCUCAAGCACCGUGGAUUGGUGGGAGGAGUGGCAGCUGCGAAUUCUCGUUAUCUGCAGCCAAUGUGUUCAAUGGAUCCUCUACUUCUCCGCCGGCCGGCGUAAGUCCGCAGUCUCUGCAUCCUUUCGACUUUUGAUAUGGCUAGCAUACAUAGGCAGCGACGCGGUGGCGAUAUAUGCUCUCGCCGCCCUGUUCAAUCGCCACAGGAAGCCGGAAAAUUCCAGCUUCACACAUGGCAAAAGCGUCCUAGAGGUGGUGUGGGCUCCUGUCCUCCUGAUGCACCUGGGUGGACAGGACGGCAUAACCGCCUACAACAUGGAAGACAACGAGCUAUGGAAGCGGCACGUCCUCAUGGCUGUCUCUCAGAUCACAGUGUCAAUCUACGUGUUCUGUAAAUCAUGGCAGGGCGGUGACAAGAAGUUGUUGCAGGCAGCUAUCAUGCUCUUCACCCUUGGGGGCAUCAGAUGCUUAGAGAAGCCACAUGCUCUCAGGAGCGCUAGCAUUAAUAGCUUAGUCAGCGCUUCUGACACUACGGCGCGGAUGGACGAUGAGGAAUACAACCGCGACGAGAUCAAGCUUGAAGAAUAUGUGGAAAAAGUAUGUGCUCUUUUUAAUGCCGGCUGUCACACUGAAGCACAAGCAGAAAGUGAUGUUGAGGCCAACCAUCUCUUUGAUCAAGCACUAGGAGAAGCUGAUGCCGAGGCCAAUCAUCUCCCUGAUCAAGCACAAGCAGAAGGUGCUGUUGAGACCAACCAUCUCCCUGAUCGAGCACACGGAGAAGACGAUAUUGAAGCCAGCCGUCUCUCUGAUCAAGGCAAUGGAGAAGGUGAUGUCAAUGCCAGCCACCGCUCUGAUACAACACAGGGAGAAGGUGAUUCAACGGCUGAUGUGCGCAUGAGCUAUGAUCUUUUUCGGAAACUAGGAACAGACCAUGUCAAUAAGCUUUUUGUGGAUCUUGCAUCUCCGUAUCAUGAUCGGUUUGAUGUCAUAGAAGCCUUCCUGAAGCUAGAUGAAGAAAAGGCAUAUGAGCGGUUGCAAGAAAGGCUAUCCGACACGUUCGAUCUUCUAUACACCAAAGCAAAGAUGGCACAACCCAACAUAAAACUUCUCAGAAAGAACUUUAGCUUUGGCUUCCACUUUUGGGCUCUUGCUGCAUACUUCCGGAUGGCAUGUAUAAUCUUACCAUUCACAGCCAUCACUCUGUUCCACAAGAGUCACAGAGAAGCUUAUAACGAUGAGGAUGUCAAGGUCACAUAUACAUUAUUAUCUUGUACCGCUGCGCUGGAGUACUUAUCAUAUAACAGAAGUUUUGGGACGGGAUUGGGAAUAGUAUUGUUUCACAGUGUUUCCCAAUGUAAUUUCAUGGUUUCCCAAUGUAGUUUCAUGGCAUUCUUUGCCUUCAAGGAAAAGCUCAUGCCCAUUGACUCAUCCUCCAGAAUUACAAUCUUGGUUCUUGGAUACAUGAAACGUUGGUGGAAGCAAGACAUACGAGUUGUUGCCGAUUACAUGAGGUUCAGGAAUCACAGGGGCCAAUGGGCUCUUCAGAUAGCAGGAUCAGGAUGUGGUGAAGUCCUAGGGUGGAGCAUGAAGAGACCGUUUGACGAGAGUGUCCUUCUCUGGCACAUCGCAACGGACUUGUGCUUUUAUAAAGUGGGCUCAUCACCUAAUCAUGCAUGCGGCACCGUUCAAUCAGAUGGAGAAAUCUCUAGGAAUGCCGAAUGCCCUACGUGGUGUACAAAAUCUGUGUAUCACGUAGGCGCAACAGGAUGCAGAGAAAUAUCCAACUACAUGAUGUACCUAUUGUCUGCAAAGCCAGAGAUGCUAAUGGCCGGCACAAGGUGGAAUCUGUUCAUAGCCGCGUACAACAAACUCAAGGAAAUCCUCAAAUGCCACCCACAACCACCGGUGGAGCACCGAGUGCGGGGGUGA